AUAAUUACUGAAGGAGUUGUUAAAACAAAUAAAAUUACUGUAGGAGUUGUUAAAACAAAUAAAAUUACUGAAGGAGUUGUUAAAACAAAUAAAAUUACUGAAGGAGUUGUUAAAACAAAUAGAAUUGGGAAUCCGCAGCUAAAGGAUAAAACACAAAAAAUAAAUGAAAACACAAAAAGGGAUAACCCGAAGAUCCAGAAAGACAAUGACAAAAGGACACAAAGUGAGAAACCGGGAGAGAAAAGAAAAUCUUUAGGCAGCGGUGGCAAAUCGAAGAUACCACAGAAGAAGACAGAAGCUAAGAAUCCAGAAGUAGUUAAGACAGGUACAAUUAAACCUACGAGUCUUCUGGCAAAGUCGAAAGGCACCAAUAUACCAAUUGUGAAGCGGCCAUAAUUGGGAAAGGAUUAGAAUUUUAACUUUUUUCGUAUAUUUGUAUCCAGUAUUGAUUUUUUCAGUGGAACACGAUAGAAAUUCACGCUUUAAUAAGAAAAAAUGGAAAUAUAUUGUUUAAUAAAAGUUGUUUAUUUGAGUAAUACAUUAUAUUGCCCUCAUCCAUAAAAUAUAAAUUAAUUAACAAAAGUGAUAAUAAGAAUUUUCUUGAUGCGAAUUUUUAAUAAAUUGCCGCCCUCAUCCAUAAAAUGUAAAUUAAUUAACAAAAGUGAUAAUAA